GUCGAGGGGCAGCGAGUAGAUUGCUUGCAAUCUACGUCGGCGACCGGCGCACUUUUGCGUAACGCGUAUGCAACCUACCCAUUACAGGGGGAUAACUCUGAGAAAUCGGUACUAAUACCCCAUAACAUCCAGGGAGGCAUCUUCUUGGGUUGAAAACUCCGGUGGUAAUGGAUGGGCAUGCGUUGUAUUAGUUAGUUGGUGGGGUAACGGCUCACCAAGACAACGAUACAUAGGGGGACUGAGAGGUUAACCCCCCACAUUGGUACUGAGACACGGACCAAACUCCUACGGGAGGCAGCAGUGAGGAAUAUUGGUCAAUGGACGCAAGUCUGAACCAGCCAUGCCGCGUGCAGGAAGACGGCUCUAUGAGUUGUAAACUGCUUUUGUACGAGGGUAAACGCAGAUACGUGUAUCUGUCUGAAAGUAUCGUACGAAUAAGGAUCGGCUAACUCCGUGCCAGCAGCCGCGGUAAUACGGAGGAUUCAAGCGUUAUCCGGAUUUAUUGGGUUUAAAGGGUGCGUAGGCGGUCGGAUAAGUUAGAGGUGAAAUCCCGAGGCUCAACUUCGGAAUUGCCUCUGAUACUGUUCGGCUAGAGAGUAGUUGCGGUAGGCGGAAUGUAUGGUGUAGCGGUGAAAUGCGUAGAGAUCGGGAGGAACACCAGUGGCGAAG
rnacentral:rRNA from 1 species